rnacentral:rRNA from 1 species
GACUGUGGCCGAAUCACCCAGAAUACGGCCAAUCUCGUCAGAUCUCAAAAGCUAAGCAGGGUCGUGCCUGGACACUGCUUGGAUGGAUGAACACCAUGCAUAAGGGAGUCUAGUCUGCUGGGGUUG